UGGCACAUGCGCAGAUUAUUUGUUUAC
rnacentral:piRNA from 1 species